rnacentral:rRNA from 1 species
UACGUAGGGGGCAAGCGUUGUCCGGAUUUAUUGGGCGUAAAGAGCUCGUAGGCGGUUCGUUGCGUCGGCUGUGAAAACCCGCAGCUCAACUGUGGGCUUGCAGCUGAUACGGGCGGGCUGGAGUUCGGUAGGGGAGACUGGAAUUCCUGGUGUAGCGGUGAAAUGCGCAGAUAUCAGGAGGAACACCUGAGGCGAAGGCGGGUUGCUAGGCUGACACUGACGCUGAGGCGCGAAAGCUAGGGUAGCAAACGGG